UGAGGAAUAUUGGUCAAUGGGCGCAGGCCUGAACCAGCCAAGUCGCGUGAGGGAAGACGGUUUUCGGAUUGUAAACCUCUGUCUUCGGGGACGAAAAUGACGGUACCCGAGGAGGAAGCCACGGCUAACUACGUGCCAGCAGCCGCGGUAAUACGUAGGUGGCAAGCGUUGUCCGGAAUUACUGGGUGUAAAGGGAGAGUAGGCGGGAUUGCAAGUCCGUUGUUAAAUCUAUCGGCUUAACCGGUAGCUGCGGCGGAAACUGUAGUUCUUGAGUGAAGUAGAGGCAGGCGGAAUUCCUAGUGUAGCGGUGAAAUGCGUAGAUAUUAGGAGGAACACCAGUGGCGAAGGCGGCCUGCUGGGCUUUAACUGACGCUGAGGCUCGAAAGUGUGGGGAGCAAACAGGAUUAGAUACCCUGGUAGU
rnacentral:rRNA from 1 species